UUUAAACUGUGAAAAACUGUUUCUUUCCUGAUUAAGACAGCAACUUCCUGAAGAGCCUGAUCAUGGAGAAGAGAUUUCGCAUAAGAACAGAUUGUGCCAAGAGAAGAAUUUCACCGGGAGACAAUGAGGUCUGCAUGAAGACAUCGAACAGAUCUCAGCUUUCAACUCAAGACCAACAGAACAUGGUCAGAGACUGCAGGCUGGUUCAGUUGCUGAAAAACAGCAAGCUAGGUUGUUGGCUGAGUGAGAUCUGUGCAGAUACUGUCGCACUCCAGCUGCUGACAGCCGGCCUCUUCCUGCUGUUUGUCUGGCUCCUGGCAGAACUGCACGUAGUCCUGCCCUGCCUCCUUCUGUGUGGAUGCCUCUGUGAUGAGCCACUCAGGAGGGCAGUGAACACAGCCUGGAACUGGAUUACAGCUUCUGUAAGAGCUAAAGUGGUGAAGACGCACGCUGCACACUGAUGGAACAAGGUCAUAACCUUAUGAUCAGACACUAAUGAUUAACUACACUAAAGUCCCCCUUGAGUUUGCUAAUUAUAUUAAACAGGAAUUUUUAA